GACGAACGCUGGCGGCGUGCCUAAUACAUGCAAGUAGAACGCUGAAGGAGGAGCUUGCUUCUCUGGAUGAGUUGCGAACGGGUGAGUAACGCGUAGGUAACCUGCCUGGUAGCGGGGGAUAACUAUUGGAAACGAUAGCUAAUACCGCAUAACAGUAGAUAUCGCAUGAUAUCUACUUGAAAGGUGCAAUUGCAUCACUACCAGAUGGACCUGCGUUGUAUUAGCUAGUUUGUGAGGUAACGGCUCACCAAGGCGACGAUACAUAGCCGACCUGAGAGGGGGAUCGGCCACACUGGGACUGGGACACGGCCCAGACCCCUACGGGAGGCAGCAGUAGGGAAUCUUCGGCAAUGGACGGAAGUCUGAACGAGCAACGCCGCGUGAGUGAAGAAGGUUUUCGGGUCGUAAAGAUCUGUUGUAAGAGAAGAACGAGUGUGAGAGUGGAAAGUUCACACUGUGACGGUAUCUUACCAGAAAGCGACGGCUAACUACGUG
rnacentral:rRNA from 1 species